rnacentral:rRNA from 1 species
GACGAACGCUGGCGGCGUGCUUAACACAUGCAAGUCGAGCGGUAAGGCCCUUUCGGGGGUACGACGAGCGGCGAACGGGUGAGUAACACGUGGGUGACCUGCCCUCAGCUCUGGGAUAAGCCUGGGAAACUGGGUCUAAUACUGGAUAUGACUCCACGGUGCAUGUCGUGGGGUGGAAAGCCUUGUGCGGCUGAGGAUGGGCCCGCGGCCUAUCAGCUUGUUGGU